UGGUAGAGAAACUAACUCACUCUUCGGUGACUGGCAAUGCUUCCUGAAUGAAAGAAACAUCUACUUGACCUCCUCACAGUCUCCCUUUCUAUAGUGCAAGCUCGACUAGACAGUUUUGACAAUAGUGAUAUUAAGGCUCUGCUUGGUGCCAUGCAAUCUGCAUUUGGGGUGCCAGCUAGCCACAGGACUCAUCUGGAAAAAAACAACGGCCCAACCCUGAGAACUUUGGGAUUCACGGGAAAUUACAGUUCCCCUGAUGAUGCAGGACCGGACCAGGAUUUCACUCAUCAACUGGCCUAGAUUAAGGAGAAAGAAAUCUACAUUUCUGAACCUGGUAACGUCUGAGCAUACUCAUGGAAGAAAGAGCUGGCCUAUGAGCGGUGGAUAUUAUGGCUGGAGCUGCAGCAGCCAUCAUGCCAACAUGAGGGAAAAGCUGAUGGAAUUGUGGAGACUUUGGCCUUGUGAUUCAGCCCUGGAUGAGUUGUCUCCACAUUACUUAUCAUAUAAGAGAAAAA
ensembl:lncRNA novel transcript